rnacentral:rRNA from 1 species
ACUCAAAUGAAUUGACGGGGGCCCGCACAAGCGGUGGAGCAUGUGGUUUAAUUCGACGCAACGCGAAGAACCUUACCUACCCUUGACAUCCUCGGAAUUUGAUAGAGAUAUUGAAGUGCCGAAAGGAACCGAGAGACAGGUGCUGCAUGGCUGUCGUCAGCUCGUGUCGUGAGAUGUUGGGUUAAGUCCCGUAACGAGCGCAACCCCUAUCCUUAGUUGCCAACAGGUAGAGCUGGGAACUCUAAGGAGACUGCCGGCGAUAAGCCGGAGGAAGGUGGGGAUGACGUCAAGUCCUCAUGGCCCUCACGGGUAGGGCUACACACGUGCUACAAUGGGCAGUACAGAGGGAAGCGAAGCCGUGAGGUGAAGCGAAUCUCAGAAAGCUGCUCGUAGUCCGGAUUGGAGUCUGCAACUCGACUCCAUGAAGUUGGAAUCGCUAGUAAUCGUGGAUCAGAACGCCACGGUGAAUACGUUCCCGGGCCUUGUACACACCGCCCGU